UGGCGCACGGGUGCGUAACGCGUGGGAAUCUGCCCUUGGGUUCGGAAUAACUUCGGGAAACUGAAGCUAAUACCGGAUGAUGACGAAAGUCCAAAGAUUUAUCGCCCAGGGAUGAGCCCGCGUAGGAUUAGCUAGUUGGUGGGGUAAAGGCUCACCAAGGCAACGAUCCUUAGCUGGUCUGAGAGGAUGAUCAGCCACACUGGGACUGAGACACGGCCCAGACUCCUACGGGAGGCAGCAGUAGGGAAUAUUGGACAAUGGGCGAAAGCCUGAUCCAGCAAUGCCGCGUGAGUGAUGAAGGCCUUAGGGUUGUAAAGCUCUUUUACCCGAGAUGAUAAUGACAGUAUCGGGAGAAUAAGCUCCGGCUAACUCCGUGCCAGCAGCCGCGGUAAUACGGAGGGAGCUAGCGUUGUUCGGAAUUACUGGGCGUAAAGCGCACGUAGGCGGCGAUUUAAGUCAGAGGUGAAAGCCCGGGGCUCAACCCCGGAACUGCCUUUGAGACUGGAUUGCUAGAAUCUUGGAGAGGCGAGUGGAAUUCCGAGUGUAGAGGUGAAAUUCGUAGAUAUUCGGAAGAACACCAGUGGCGAAGGCGGCUCGCUGG
rnacentral:rRNA from 1 species